GCCUGGGUGGCUCAGUCAGUUGAGCGUCCGACUUCAUAUCAGGUCUCAAUCUCACAGCUCGUGGGUUCGAGCCCCGCGUCAGGCU
rnacentral:tRNA from 1 species